GUAAGGGCGACUGAAAAGGGAUGAGCCCAGCGCGUAGGCUGCAGUCCAUCCUCCGUUGAGCGGGGCACUGGUCUGUGAGCGAUGCCGCGUAUGGGAGCGGUCGAGGGAGGUCCGGGACCGGUCCGAAGUCUGUUCCGAAUGUUAGCUCGCUGGCCAUAGAGGGUGGUAGCCCCGUAGGGCCGCGUUUAUGCCCGGAAAGCCCGCCGGCCGUUCCCUAGAGUCGGGUUGCUUGGAAAUGCAGCCCUAAGACGGGUGGUGAACUCCAUCCAAGGCUAAAUAUCCCCACGAGACCGAUAGCGAACAAGUACCGCGAGGGAAAGUUGAAAAGAACUUUGAAAAGAGAGUUCAAGAGAGCGUGAAACUACCACGAGGUUAAAGCGAGUGAGCGUUCGUACCCGAAAUGGUCGAAAAUUGUCGAUUCUUCGUUUCUUCGGGAGUGGGAUUUUCCGGACCUACCGCGAAGAGCCUGGCUCUCGCGCGGAAAGGCCGGAGGUUCGUCUCGCCGAGAGCGAAGUCGCUGUCCCUUUGGCCGAAGUAGGGCGUCGCGGCCGUUCGAGAGGCGUCGAAGACCCGGGGUCCUCCGGGCAUCGCAUCUUCUUCGCGUCGUCUCCUUUUAGGGGGCGGCGUCGAGUCGUGCGAGAACGCCCCGGUGAUCUGACGGUCUCACGGACGGUUAAAUUAUGAAGAAAAAGCGCGCUUGCUGACCGGGAGUCGUCCUCUCGCCCACCUCGCUCUCGCGAGCGUGGG
rnacentral:rRNA from 1 species